rnacentral:lncRNA from 1 species
AAGCUGGCAGAAAUGAAAAUGAAGGGGAGAGAGGGGCUCCCCCCUAGUCUCUUGGUGGAAAAUUCACUAGGGAGAGCUGUCCAGGAUACUUGGAGCUCUUGGUAGAAGGAGCCUGUAACUGCUUUGAAGUAGACGUCAUUGCACAGGUGACUGAGUUUCUCUGACCUCACUGCUUCAUGUCUGUCUCCUCCUGUCCUCCUGCAUGUGCUCCCACACACACAGGUCGGCCCUCUUUCCUCCAUAAGCCUCCAUCAUUUUCUCUUUUCUCCUCUUGAUUGAGAUACAAAAGCGAGUAUCUUGUUGAAUUGUAUGUUCUAUUGGAUCUCCUCCCUCAUAACACCUGGCUUGUUGGACAGAAAAACCCUACAGCCCACCCUCUCCCAUAGCCCCUUCUCCACUUUUGAUAGCCCAAAUUACGCCUCUCCCAGAACACAGUGUUGACAUAAACACGGUUACCCAAUAUUCCUGUUUGUUCACCUAUCUGCUACUUUCACUCAGUAGCAUCCCAUUUUGUAAAAUGAAUUGCAUGGUCACCCUGUCACAGGAAGUAAUGAAGAAUCCAGUGUUCAGUGUAGUGGUGCAAACCUGAGGGCGUAGAGCUGUUCAUAGAGGGCUCCUGUUAUAGCCAAACAGACACAGCGACAAUCUCACCAUAUAUAUAUGUAUUUAACUUGUCCAGCUCAUCUAUGGAAAACUACUCAGGUGGUAUGCUGUUUGAAGCCUCAUCUUCCUAUAUGAAAAUUGUGGGCAUUUAUCCCAAUGAUCUUGUUGCAGCUGUUCUGUGGUCUGCAAAACCACUCUGAUAUUUAGGUAUCUGCUAUUUUAUUAUCUUAAAAAGACAAUUUAAUUGCAUGUGCUAGAGAAAAGCUACCAUGUAAAUUCACCCCAAGUAAAUAGAAUCCUAGAUGAAUCCUAGAAAAAUGAUCCCUAAGCAGAUAGGUAGACAGAGGUAAACAUUCACAGGAUUCAGCUCUCUAGCUCUUGCAUUCUGAGCAUUCUUGCUUUGGUUCUGACUUCUGGGAACUGCUUUGCAUUUCCCCUAUAGAUCUGUAGUUUAAGGGAACCAAGGGGUCACUGGGGCAAAAGCAUUGUUUCUCAAAGCUCCUUGAUUAAGAGAACAGAAAUCUGCACAGAAGAUACUGUCAAGGAGUGAGAAAAUUUGUUUGAGGGCAGUAGCUCAGUGUGGAAGAAAAUCCUGAAGCUUCUGUUGAAACCGUACAAUGUUCUGUGGGGUUACUCUCUAAGGCAUUCUCUGAGGUGUGUGAGGAAGUCACUACUCCUAGCCUUUGUUCAGAUAUAAUUUUAAAUAUUCAGUUAUGGUACUAUGUUUGCAACUCUCAUCUUGUCACAAUGCCUCAGUAGUUUGUUCCCUUAGAAACAUUUAGAUGUGCACAAAUUAAUCUUUUAUAUAUCUAAAGGUUUUUCUAUCAUGUAUUGGGUUGCUCAGAAUAAAGUAUCUAUUAGACUUUGUUUUGGUAAAUAAAUUCUCCCUGUUGUAGAUUAAUAUAAAAUCUGUAAUGACAUAAUAUAUCUAUAUAGCCUUGCUGUAUAAUUCAGAA